rnacentral:rRNA from 1 species
GACGAACGCUGGCGGCGUGCUUAACACAUGCAAGUCGAACGCUGAAGCUCAGCUUUUGUUGGGUGGAUGAGUGGCGAACGGGUGAGUAACACGUGAGUAACCUGCCUCCUUCUUUGGGAUAACGCCCGGAAACGGGUGCUAAUACUGGAUAUUCACUGGUCUUCGCAUGGGGGGUGGUGGAAAGGGUUUUUCUGGUGGGGGAUGGGCUCGCGGCCUAUCAGCUUGUUGGUGGGGUGAUGGCCUACCAAGGCUUUGACGGGUAGCCGGCCUGGGGGGGUGACCGGUCACAUUGGGACGGAGAUACGGCCCAGACUCCUACGGGAGGCAGCAGUGGGGAAUAUUGCACAAUGGGAGCAAGCCUGAUGCAGCGACGCGGCGUGAGGGAUGGAGGCCUUCGGGUUGUGAACCUCUUUCGCUCAUGGUCAAGCCGCAACAAUGGUUGUGGUGAGGGUAGUGGGUAAAGAAGCGCCGGCUAACUACGUG